AGCGGCGGACGGGUGAGUAACACGUGGGUAACCUGCCCAAGAGACUGGGAUAACACCUGGAAACAGAUGCUAAUACCGGAUAACAACACUAGACGCAUGUCUAGAGUUUGAAAGAUGGUUCUGCUAUCACUCUUGGAUGGACCUGCGGUGCAUUAGCUAGUUGGUAAGGUAACGGCUUACCAAGGCAAUGAUGCAUAGCCGAGUUGAGAGACUGAUCGGCCACAUUGGGACUGAGACACGGCCCAAACUCCUACGGGAGGCAGCAGUAGGGAAUCUUCCACAAUGGACGAAAGUCUGAUGGAGCAACGCCGCGUGAGUGAAGAAGGGUUUCGGCUCGUAGAGCUCUGUUGGUAGUGAAGAAAGAUAGAGGUAGUAACUGGCCUUUAUUUGACGGUAAUUACUUAGAAAGUCACGGCUAACUACGCGCCAGCAGCCGCGGUAAUACGUAGGUGGCAAGCGUUGUCCGGAUUUAUUGGGCGUAAAGCGAGUGCAGGCGGUUCAAUAAGUCUGAUGUGAAAGCCUUCGGCUCAACCGGAGAAUUGCAUCAGAAACUGUUGAACUUGAGUGCAGAAGAGGAGAGUGGAACUCCAUGUGUAGCGGUGGAAUGCGUAGAUAUAUGGAAGAACACCAGUGGCGAAGGCGGCUCUCUGGUCUGCAACUGACGCCGAGGCUCGAAAGCAUGGGUAGCGAACAGGAUUAGAUACCCUGGUAGUCCAUGCCGUAAACGAUGAGUGCUAAGUGU
rnacentral:rRNA from 1 species